UACGGGAGGCAGCAGUGGGGAAUAUUGCACAAUGGGCGCAAGUCUGAUGCAGCCAUGCCGCGUGUAUGAAGAAGGCCUUCGGGUUGUAAAGUACUUUCAGUCGUGAGGAAGGUGUUAAGGUUAAUAACCUUAGCAAUUGACGUUAGCGACAGAAGAAGCACCGGCUAACUCCGUGCCAGCAGCCGCGGUAAUACGGAGGGUGCGAGCGUUAAUCGGAAUUACUGGGCGUAAAGGGCACGCAGGCGGUUAAUUAAGUUGGAUGUGAAAUCCCCGGGCUUAACCUGGGAAUGGCAUUCAAGACUGGUUAGCUAGAGUCUUGUAGAGGGGGUAGAAUUCCAUGUGUAGCGGUGAAAUGCGUAGAGAUGUGGAGGAAUACCGGUGGCGAAGGCGGCCCCUGGGACAAAGGACUGACGCUCAUGUGCGAAAGCGUGGGGAGCAAACAGGGAUUAGAUACC
rnacentral:rRNA from 1 species